UACGAAGUAGGCUUCCGCAAGGACACCUGUAGAGGUGCUGCAUGGCUGUCGUCAGCUCGUGUCGUGAGAUGUUGGGUUAAGUCCCGCAACGAGCGCAACCCUUGUCUUCUGUUGCCAUCGGGUUAUGCCGGGCACUCUGAAGAGACUGCCGGUGACAAACCGGAGGAAGGUGGGGAUGACGUCAAGUCAGCAUGGCCUUUAUGUCUGGGGCCACACACGUGCUACAAUGGCCGGUACAAACCGUCGCGAUCUCGCGAGAGGGAGCUAAUCGGAGAAAGCCGGUCUCAGUUCGGAUUGUAGGCUGCAACUCGCCUGCAUGAAGUUGGAAUCGCUAGUAAUCGCGGAUCAGCACGCCGCGGUGAAUACGUUCCCGGGCCUUGUACACACCGCCCGUCACAUCACGAAAGUGAGCUGCACUAGAAGUCGGUGAGCUAACCGCAAGGAGGCAGCCGCCCAAGGUACGGCCCAUGAUUGGGGUGAAGUCGUAACAAGGUAGCCGU
rnacentral:rRNA from 1 species